rnacentral:rRNA from 1 species
GAUGAACGCUAGCGGCAGGCCUAACACAUGCAAGUCGAGGGGCAGCACAGAAACAGCAAUGUUUUGGUGGCGACCGGCGGACGGGUGCGUAACGCGUAUGCAACCUACCUUUAACAGGGGGGUAACGGAGAGAAAUUUCCACUAAUACCCCAUAACAUCGAUCAAGGCAUCUUGAUUGGUUGAAAACUCCGGUGGUUAAAGAUGGGCAUGCGUUGUAUUAGGUAGUUGGUGAGGUAAUGGCUCACCAAGCCUACGAUACAUAGGGGGACUGGGGGGUUAGCCCCCCACACUGGUACUGAGACACAGACCAGCAUCCUACGGGAGGCAGCAGUGAGGAAUAUUGGUCAAUGGGGGCAACCCUGAACCAGCCAUGCCGCGUGCAGGAAGACGGCUCUAUGAGUUGUAAACUGCUUUUAAACAGGGAUAAAGCACAGUAUGUAUACUGUGUUGAAGGUACUGUAAGAAUAAGGAUCGGCUAACUCCGUGCCAGCCGCCGCUGUAA